GGGGAAGUAGCUCAGCUGGGAGAGCGCCGCGUUCGCAAUGCGGAGGUCGUGGGUUCGAUCCCCAUCUUCUCCACCA
rnacentral:tRNA from 1 species